UACCAUUUGCUAUGGAAUAUCAGUCAUAUUAGUCCUUCUUCACUCCAGGAUGUAGCAGUCCCUUAUUGAAGCAUAGAAUACCUUUUGUUCACUGGAAACAGGCAGUGCCAAAUGCUGUUGCAAAAGGAAAGAUUUACGACGAUGAAUUGAUUUCCAUUAAAAUAUAAUAAAUGAAUAUGGAUACAGUGGAUUGGAAUAUGGAGAAGCAGUCCCAUUCAUAUGUUAUUCUCUUGGGACUGGAAAAGAUACAUUUGUGGAAAGAGUUGUCACAAAGAAACAAAAAAUAAGGAUUGGAAACUUGGACUCUCCACAACCUCCUCUUAUACUUGAAAGGUGCAAUUUCAGUGAUGUUGUGUGUUUUGCAUGUUGGCUCAUUUCACCAUCAGUGUAUUUCUUCGUUGUUAACGUUUAGGAAUAGAAGUGGAGCACCCUACUGUCUACAAUAAUCCUGGAGAUUAUCCAACAAAUGAAAGAGACUAAUGUUCAACUUGGUCAUACUGAAACAGUCAAGGUCUACAGUGGUGUUGUCUUUUGUGAACUAUAUAUUCGUGAUUUGCUGUUUUCGUCUUCAGCUUGCAACAUCAUGAAGUUAAUUUUCAACUGAUAAAUGAGAGCAACAGGAG